AUUGAACGCUGGCGGCGCGCCUAAUACAUGCAAGUCGAGCGAGAAGACGUAGCAAUACGUUUGUAAAGCGGCGAACGGGUGAGGAAUACAUGGGUAACCUACCCUCGAGUGGGGAAUAACUAGCCGAAAGGUUAGCUAAUACCGCGUACGCUCCUUGGACUUCGGUUCAGGGAGGAAAGCGAUACCGUGGGUAUCGCGCUCUUGGAUGGGCUCAUGUCCUAUCAGCUUGNGGUGAGGUAACGGCUCACCAAGGCUUCGACGGGUAGCUGGUCUGAGAGGACGAUCAGCCACACUGGCACUGCGACACGGGCCAGACUCCUACGGGAGGCAGCAGUAAGGAAUAUUGCGCAAUGGGCGAAAGCCUGACGCAGCGACGCCGCGUGGGGGA
rnacentral:rRNA from 1 species